rfam:Solenopsis invicta Si_gnG.contig74656, whole genome shotgun sequence.
CUGGUAAAGCGAAUGAUUAGAGGCCUUGGGGCCAAAACGACCUCAACCUAUUCUCAAACUUUAAAUGGGUGAAAUCUCUGGCUUUCUUGAAACUUGAAGCCACGAGCAUCUUAAUCUCGGAUCAGAGUGUCAAGUGGGCCAUUUUUGGUAAGCAGAACUGGCGCUGUGGGAUGAACCAAACGCAAAGUUAAGGCGCCCAACUCGACGCUCAUGGGACACCAUGAAAGGCGUUGGUUGCUUAAGACAGCAGGACGGUGGCCAUGGAAGUCGGAAUCCGCUAAGGAGUGUGUAACAACUCACCUGCCGAAGCAACUUGUAACCGGACUCGACGUGUUAGUGUUGUUUCAGCCUCGGGUUACCGGAAUUAACAUUUAAAAUUUCAAAAAGCUAAGUUUUGUUGGUCGUUUAUUCUCG